AAUAAUACCUGAUAGUCUCUACGGAGUAAAUGAUGCCUUCGGGUGUCGCUAAAGGAUGGGCUCGCGGCCUAUCAGUUUGUUGGUGAGGUAAAGGCUCACCAAGACUACGACGGGUAGCUGGUCUGAGAGGACGAUCAGCAACACUGGAACUGAGACACGGUCCAGACACCUACGGGUGGCAGCAGUCGAGAAUCAUUCACAAUGGAGGAAACUCUGAUGGUGCAACGCCGCGUGGAGGAUGACGGCCCUAGGGUUGUAAACUCCUGUCAUUGGGGAGUAAGACUUAUGCGUUAAGAGCGUGUAAGUUU
rnacentral:rRNA from 1 species